CCUACGGGAGGCAGCAGUGGGGAAUAUUGGGCAAUGGAGGCAACUCUGACCCAGCAACGCCGCGUGAAUGAUGAAGGUCUUCGGAUUGUAAAGUUCUUUUCUAAGGGAAGAAGAAAGUGACGGUACCUUAGGAAUAAGCCUCGGCUAACUACGUGCCAGCAGCAGCGGUAAUACGUAGGAGGCAAGCGUUCUCCGGAAUGACUGGGCGUAAAGGGUGCGUAGGUGGUUUGAUAAGUUGGUCGCGUAAAUCAGAGGAUCAACCUGGGCACUACUACCAACACUGUCGGACUUGAGUGCAGGGGGGGCAACUGGAAUUCCUAGUGUAGCGGUGGAAUGCGUAGAUAUUAGGAGGAAGACCAGUGGCGAAGGCGAGUUGCUGGACUGUAACUGACACUGAGGCACGAAAGCGUGGGGAGCAAACAGGAUUAGAUACCCCUGUAGUC
rnacentral:rRNA from 1 species